UACGUAGGGUGCAAGCGUUGUCCGGAAUUAUUGGGCGUAAAGAGCUCGUAGGCGGUUUGUCGCGUCUGCUGUGAAAUCUGGGGGCUCAACCCCCAGCCUGCAGUGGGUACGGGCAGACUAGAGUGCGGGUAGGGGAGAUUUGGAAUUCCUGGUGUAGCGGUGGAAUGCGCAGAUAUCAGGAGGAACACCAAUGGCGAAGGCAGCACUCUGGGACGGUACUGACGCUGAGACGCGAAAGCGUGGGGGAGCAAACAGG
rnacentral:rRNA from 1 species